rnacentral:lncRNA from 1 species
AUCGAUCCAAUAUAUCAUAAGUACCUUAUUAUUAUGGACAAUGAUGUCUUUCCAUUAACAUGAACUUCUCAAAUCAAAUGAUACAAUUGAACAAGCAACACAAUAAUGGAGAUUGAAGCAAACAUAGAUCAAAAAGUUAUACAUUAUUAUUUCCUCCAUCACUUAAGCAAGAUGAAUUGUGCUAGACCAUGUCAUUCAUCUUCUUGUUGAUGACAUCUUGAAUGAUAGGACCGAGGGCCUCCAUACUUAUUGGUUUGGGCACAAAUAAAUCAGCACCAGCACUCAUGAACGCCUCCAUGGCAUGAUUAUCGGCAGAAACCCCAACAAUCUUCACAUCAGUUUCCCCCAUAGCACGGAUCUUCACAAUUGCUUGUCGAGCAAUAUAAAAAUUAUAUUGUCUUUUUUGUAAAUAAAUGGAUUAUAUUUAUAUAAAUACAUGCCAAAUACUUGACGAUAUAGAAUUAAUUACCUCUGGACCAGUCAUGACGGGCAUAUCCUUAUCGAACAAAACAAUGUCAAACUUUUUCCCCUCAAGGAACAAAUCAACAGCUUCCUUCCCAUUCAUGGCUAGAGUAACCUCACAGUGAAGUCUGAGCAGAAACGUUGAGAGGACCAACCUACAAACUUCAAUGUCCUCUACAAGUAGUGCCUUGAUAGAGGUGAAUCCUUUGGCCUUGAGCUCCAUGAUCACCUAAACAAAUUGCAAACACAUGAAUAUAUUUUAUUCUUGAUCCACGCAUGCCGAAUUAGUACUUCAAGCAUAUUGUUUUUCUUGAAAAUAAUCAACUAACAAAAUCUUAAUAUAUUACUAAACUCAUAGUUUAACUAAUCGAGGACAUCGCAUAACACAAUGAAACAAAAUUGUGUAUUUCAAAUGAAAACAAUGAUAGAGAACGAUCGAUUGUGCUAUGCAUGUAAAGUUUCCCAUCAUCAUUCCUUUUUAUACGAUAUGUAGGACUGAAAGAAUCAAUCCACCUAGAUAACAUCAACGUGGAAAAUAAACAAUGAACAUGCCAACAAUUAUACAUAAAUGCAUAUAGAUGGGUGGUAACAACAACAACGAAGAUAUUGAUUAACAGAUCAAACUAAAAUGCAUACUUCCACCCUAUACUGGUAUAGAUCCACCUCUAACAUUCUCCGGUAUGAAAAGCAUGGACACUAAAAGCUCCAAAAGCCUGAUGAUAAGACAAGGCAGGAAAACAAAUAAUGGAACAUGUACCUGAAGGUUAGAGCCAGAUGGUACUGGAGGAGAUUGGGGAUCUUCCUGCUCUUCCCACUAGAUAGUCUGGUGGUUCGGUGCUGGUAUGCCUGGUAUGAUGAGGUAUUUAUAGCUGGGAAAAGGUAAGUGUGGACAAUGGACAACCUAUCUCCACCGCCUUCACACACGCAAAAAAUCUGCGCCGAUCUUCGCCCAAGUAUAAAGGGGAAAUCAAUAUUAGUCGCGAAUAUUUGGUUAUUAGUGAGUCAUAUCCCCACAUAAUAUUCUCGACUGAUGUUUAUAUGCAAGUUAAUGCUUCAUAUUAGGUCACGUAUUAAACUAUAUCUCCUCUAGUUAUUAGAAGUUGUAUGAGUUAUAGUUCCAAAUUUUGAAUGUUGGCCAAUAUACCACUACUAGGAAAUACCUUACAGGUACUCCCUCCGUUCCUAAAUAUAAGUCUUUGGAGAGAUUUCACUAUGGGCCACAUACGAAGCAAAACGAGUGAAUGUACACUCUAAAAUGCAUCUAUAUACAUCCGUAUGUGGUCUAUAGUGAAAUCUCUACAAAGACUUAUAUUUAGGAACGGAGGGAGUAGAUAAUUAGCAGUAGAGCUGGGUAAGUGACCCGCGCUAUUGUUAAGUAGUAGUAGCGCGGGUCAAAACACCACGCUACAGGUCUAGUAGUAGAGCGGGUGUAUACACCCAACGCUGCUGCUAAGUGGGCCCCAUAGAACCCCCGGGUCGAGCCAUAGUGGCAGCGCUGGGUAUAAGACCCGCGCUACAACUAACAUGGUAGCUAUAGCGCAGGGCUUAUACCAAGCGCUGCCACUACUAGUACACAGGGCUAGCUGGUGGGCCCCAUUUAGCAGCAGGGCUGGUGCAUGAUAGAGCUCUACACGUAAUGGGCAUAGCAAUACCGCGGGUCUUCUUCCCCAAGCUACUGUUGUGGCAACCUUAUCCCUCCUCCAACGACGACCCUCUCACUCACUCAUGCUUCAUUCUCCUCCCGUUGUCGUCGCCGCCCUUCUCCUUCCUCCGUAAGCAGCCUCCCUCCUCCACCUGUCGCCCUCGUCCCUCCUCCUUAAAGUUGUUCUCCUCCCUCCUCCUCCUCUCUCCUCCCUCCUCCGGCCGCCAUCCUCCCUCCUCNNNNNNNNNNNNNNNNNNNNNNNNNNNNNNNNNNNNNNNNNNNNNNNNNNNNNNNNNNNNNNNNNNNNNNNNNNNNNNNNNNNNNNNNNNNNNNNNNNNNNNNNNNNNNNNNNNNNNNNNNNNNNNNNNNNNNNNNNNNNNNNNNNNNNNNNNCCCUCCAUCCUCCUCCUUCAUACCACCUCCCUCCUCCAUCCUCCCCCCUCCUUCGGCUGCCAUCCUCCUCCUCUCUCCUCCCUCCUCCCUCCUCCUCUCUCCUCUAUGUUUUAUGUAAAAAUAUAGUAAAAUAUAGAAAUUUUAGUAAUAUAAUAGAAAAUUUUAGGUAUCAAAUAGGUUUUUUGAAUAUAGAAAUGUUUUAGGUAAAGAAACAGUAAAAUAUAAAAAAUAGUAAUGGAAUACAAUAUAAAGACUAGUAAUAUAAUAGAAAAUUUUCAGUAAAAAAUUAGUAAUAGAAUAGAAAAUUUAAGGUAUCGAAUAGGGUUUUUUAAUGUAGAAAUUUUUUAGGUGUCGAAUAAAAUAUAAAAAUAUAAAAAUGUUGUUGAAAAUUAUAUUGUGAAUUAUUUUUAUGUUAUUAUCACUUUUGAAUCAAAGAAUCUUAUAUGAGAUAUGAUGAUGUAAAUUUUCACUCGGUGGAAUACGCAGGCUUUCUUGUGUCGCGUCCCCCUCUCCCGUUCGCUCCCGCCCCGUCCACCAUGAGCACCUCCUCUCCUCUCUGUUCAGUUUUAGGUUUAGUUCUUUUUUAAUAUAUAUAUAUAUAUAUGUGUGUGUGUGUGUAAAUGGAUGUAUGUUCUUUAGAUGGAUGGAUGCAUUUUGUAGGGAACAAAUCCGAGUGCCUAUGUUUUACCGGAAUGUUGAUUCAUUUCCAUUCCUGCAAAUUUUAGGCACUCGAUAUGUCCUGUUCUUAGCAAAGGUAAUGCAAAAUUUUCCUUGAAUUUCAGAAUGACUUGUGCUAGAAAGUAGGACAUAUUGAGUGCUCAUUAUUUGCCAGAACAGGAAUUAAAUGACAUUUAUGCAAAACCCCAAAAUGUCGAUACUCCCAUCCAUUCUUGGUGGGCUGCUACCUGUGAUCCAGCCCCUCCUCAGCUUCACGAGGGCAUAUCAUCACUCAUUAUCCUAUUUGCUUGGUGGCUCUGGAAACAUCAGAAUGGUUGCAUCUUUGAUGGUGAUCGGCCCUCUAUCUCCCUUGUCUCCAAGACCAUCCAAGAUGAGGCGUGGCUUUGGUCCAGGGCUGGCACCGCAGGGCUAGCGAAUAUCAACCCUGAGACUUAGUCUUGUUUUGGGGGCUGAACAACCCCCUCUAUGUAUGUUCCUCUGCUCGCUUCCAGGCCUUUUGUGUACAUGGGAUAGUAGGCGGUCAUAACGUAUUGUUGUCACUCUUCUUCUAUCAAUGGAAAGAUAUGCAAUAUUUGUGUAUUCGCAAAGAAAAAGAGAUAACAUGCACCAUUGAUGCGGGUCACUUAAAAGGGAGAUCAUAGUAGAGGGUAGAGAUGGUAGCAGCUUGGAGAACAUAGGCCUACCCUAGCGUGCACUUGCAGCCACGUGAAAUAAACAGAACCACGGAGGGCAGUAGGGCGCGAAUGAUAAGCCUAGCAUAAACACAAUAAGCUAUCAAUACUAUUAGAGGUUAACACAUGCUUCGCAACACCGUUCUUCACCUGUGGGAUUAACUCUUCUUUAUCUAGUAGAUUAUUUUGGAUGGUUGUUUUGUUUUGAUUUUAUCUGUGUUGUGCUAGAUUCUAAUUAUGUUAUAACGGUGUUUUUUGUGCAUAUAGCGUGCUAGGUUGUGGUUGGAGAUAAUAUUUGUUCUAAUAGAUGAGUGGAGUGUUCAAUGCAUGUUGUGGUGUCUUUACACGUUUCGGCCUCGGUGUCAGUUGGUGGUGGUUGUGUGAGCCCCUUCGGAGCUCCUAUUCUUUUUUCUGCAUGAAAACUUUCAGUCUAUUUAUCUUCAAUCAUGGUAGUACAACAAACACCAGAAAUAAUAAAAAGUUAUAUCCAGAUCCUUAGACCACCUAGCGACGAUUACAAGCACUGAAGCGAGCCGAAGGUGCGCCACCUUCAUCACCGCUCCCUUGCCAGAGCUAGGCAAAAAAAUUUGUAGUACACAGUAGGGGAGUCAUCGUACUAAGGCCCCAUGAGACCAGCGCACUAGAACAACAACUGCCACCGAUGAAAAGAUGCGUAGAUCGUAAGAAUCUAACCUGAAGACACACGAACGAAGAUCGGAUCCGAUUAGAUCCAUCAAAGACAACCACCGACCGAAUUCUGCAAGACCAGCUAGAGACACGCCUCCACACCCCCUCCAAUGAUGCUAGACACACCACCAGAACGGGGUCUAGGCGGGGAGAAUCCUAUUCCAUCUUCAGGGAGCCGCCUCUGUCUCGUCUUUCUCAGCAGGACACAAACACUAACCAAACCAAUAGAAACAUCUAAAAAGGAAUCCCUACCGCCGGCAAGGCCCAGGAUCCACCGCGUCUCCAUGGCCCUAGGGCCACCAGAGACGAGGCAGACUAGUGGCGGCGCUUGCGGGACACAGAGGAACCCUAGCGUUUUUGGAGGAGGCGGCGGUAGCUAUGUGUGCAUUGGGAGCUCCUAUCACACGUUCAAACUGUGGAAUUGCUGCUAUACCGCUCACAUAGGCCGUUCGCUGAAGCUCUGGCUCGAUCAACUUGGCUCCCUUUUCCACUUGCUUAUUUAGUUUUUUUCGCUCGCUCCGGUGCUAGCUUAGAAAUUACCAGCUAAUAUAUUUUUAUUUGAAAACAACCAAUAAAUCAAAUAUGCUCAUGGAUUAAAAGAUGGAUCUUAAAAAUUGUUUUGAAUUAAAAACAAUGGAUGUUUUUAAAAAAUCUUAGUGCCUUAAAAUUAUGUCCAUGGAUUUCAAAAAAUAUUUGUGAAAAUUUAAAGGAGGUUCCUAAACUGAAAAUUUUUCACCAACUUUAAUUUUAUUAUGAACUUUUGGAAUACUCCUACAUAUGCUCCUCGGGGCGGCGCCCUAGGCGUCCUUGGUGAAGGUUUGGUUUGAUUUUAGGUAACAAUUUUGGGCUUCAGCAUGCAUGUCCAUUUUCUGGGAUAGUUUUUACUGUCAUUGAAAAUCAUGGAUGGGUUAGUGAAUGGAGUAUAAAUAGAAAGAAAAAAUUGUGUCUGCGAGAUUUGAACUGACUACCUCGCUCUUAUGUAGGAGUUAGACUAAGAUGGCUUCAAAUCGAAAAGUGUUUAACAAGAAAAUUGUUCUUCUCAUAGAAAUGAACAACUUUCCUUUUGGAUUUUUUCAAUCCCAUGUCAUGCGGACGCCAGCCGCUUACAUCCCUAGUCGGACAGUACUCCACAUAUAUAAAUUGCAGAAUGACAGUUCAAAGCAAAAAGAACACAAUGCCAUUUCAAUGAUUAUAUCACAAAUGACAAAAACAUUACAAGGUUCAGUUUCCAGUAUUACAAGGCUAAAGUUCAAACUGAUAUUGCAAAUGAAAUCCAGCUUCUGCAGAACCUUUGUCAUACAGCUAUAGACACCCGUGCUGAUUAGCUGAACAUGAACAUAUAGAAGGUUCAAAUUGAUAUUACAAAUAGUUUCUCCAUUCCAAUAUUUCUGCAGGGGGAUCAGCCACUAACAAGACAUGUAUGGGCAUGACUGACUAAAGGAAACAGGAAAUUUGCCGUCAGUCACUGACGGCAAAUAACAGCUGACAGAAAAAUAGAGGAAAACUUGAUGACAAAGAAACACUAUGGGCAAACAGGUACAAAGGCUGACAGCAACGGGACACUGACGGCAAAGGCAUGUCCUUUGUCCUCAUCUUCGGGCGCACUAAUGGCAAAGAGUGUAACUAGAUGGAAGUGCAACGACGUGGCAUUUUGCCGUCAACCGCAACACUCACCGGCAUAUAAGAAGGGCAUAACAUGUGGAAAUCAUUGUACUAAAUUAGAAGAGCAUACCAUGCGCGUACUUGAUCACCACGUAAAACCCUGUUUUCUCGGCGGGUGCCUCGGCCUUGGCACCUCGCAGCACCUGCAUGUGGUCUGGCCAAAAUGGUAGGGACGAUUUUCCAAUCCAUGCUACCAGUCCAAGUUGUAAUUCAUGCACAAAUUACUACACAUAUCUUAUAUGCUUGUCAAAUUUCAAGAUGACCAAUACAUAAUCAAGUUGUCAUACAGCCCUUGUGUAUGCACUGAAAUACAAUAUUGCAAUCCCCAUCACAACUAUUCGGGGAUGAAUGGGAAGCAUAAACAAGGAACAAAAUUUUGCAUAAGUACUGUCUGUGAAUAAUCGGAACUCUUCAUCCAGUGACCCACUACUUGAUGGUAAAUCUGUAAUCCAUAUUUACCGAUUUAUGCACGUACUUCCGCUGGUUAUCAUGUCUAUACAAGCUUUGUGUUCUCCUUUGUAAUAUCUGAUUAUGCUAUAUAUGCACAGGAAAAGCAAGGAUUACUAUUCUUUGUACAUAUGUAGUGUAUUUUUCUUUCCCGUAGUAAUAGUUCAAGUAGAGGCCAGAUGCAAUGACAUAGAUGGUCGAAGGCUAUUUGAGGCAGCCCCAAGCCCCAUCUCGCUCUUGGAGCUCCUCCCUUGUUCAAGAAGGAGCUCCUCAACAAGAUAAUAGAUCCUUAAACUAAAUUUAGUUCUCCAUUUCCGAAGCAAGCUUCGCUCCCAUUCUGAUCAAUUCGUUUAUGCAGCUCGCCCGUGCCCUCUUUCUUCUGCGUGGACCCGAUUGGAUGUAUGGUGUGUCGGUGCCAAUCACUGGAAGUAGGAUACAACGCUCCUCUAUACUUCCUUAAAAAACCUCAUAGUAGAUUGUAAGAUUUGAGGUGUAUAACUCAUCGAUACCAGGGAGGCUGAAUGAAGGGGCUAGAGCCAAAUGCCAACGUUUGUGCUUGUUGAUGUUACAAGAGGAGAAAGGUCGGGAAAUAAAUGUGCUAAUGCCAUAAAUGCUAAGAUUUCGAAUAAGGGGUCUUCGAACCUUGCUGCAAUCCAUAGCUGCACUAGUAGUGAAACCUUUCUCAAGCAGAUGGAUGGGUGCAUGGAAAGUUAAUUUAACUUACAUGGACAUGGCAGAGUUAUGGGGGUGUAUACCAAUAGUUUUAUAUAAAGGAUCAGUGAUGGAUUAAUAAUAGUGGACAUUAAUUGGAUACACCACACUGACCAUUAACUAGUAAUCCAGACCAUAUAACAGUUACAAAAUAUUGAUAGCCGAUAAUUUUCCUCUCAAAAGGGUACACGACUCACAACAUGAAUCUUGAGUUAGUGAGAAGCCUUGGCCAAAAACAGAAAGACUUGUAGAUAAUAUUGAUCCAAUAUAUCAUAAGUACCUUAUUAUUAGGGACAAUGAUGUCUUUCCAUUAACAUGAACUUCUCAAAUCAAAUGAUACAAUUGAACAAGCAACACAAUAAUGUAGAUUGAAGCAAACAUAGAUCAAAAAGUUAUACAUUAUUAUUUCCUCCAUCACUUAAGCAAGAUGAAUUUUGCUAGACCAUGUCAUUCGUCUUCUUGUUGAUGACAUCCUGAAUGAUAGGACCGAGGGCCUCCAU